CAAGCGGAGGAGCAUGUGGUUUAAUUCGAUGAUACGCGAGGAACCUUACCCGGGCUUGAAAGUUAGUGAAGUUUUCAUAGAGGGAAGCGUCCGCAGGGACACGAAACUAGGUGCUGCAUGGGUGUCGUCAGCUCGUGCCGUGAGGUGUUGGGUUAAGUCCCGCAACGAGCGCAACCCCUAUGUUUAGUUGCCAGCACGUUAUGGUGGGGACUCUAAACAGACUGCCUGUGCAAACAGAGAGGAAGGAGGGGACGACGUCAAGUCAUCAUGGCCCUUACGUCCGGGGCUACACACGUGCUACAAUGGAUGGUACAGAGGGCAGCAAGCUGGCAACAGCAAGCAAAUCUCAAAAAGCCAUUCACAGUUCGGAUAGAGGUCUGCAACUCGACCUCUUGAAGUUGGAUUCGCUAGUAAUCGCGUAUCAGCAAUGACGCGGUGAAUACGUUCCCGGGCCUUGUACACACC
rnacentral:rRNA from 1 species